CAUGUUUGAAUGACUCACAACACAAAAAAGCAUUUCAAAAUGCCACCUGUAAUUGGAAAAAUAAUAUUUAUAUGCAAAAGAUUGAAGAAGGAACCUGAAUUUUUUAAAACAAAAGGAAGCAGUAAUUGUGGUAGAGAAGAAAGGAUAACUAACCUUUACUGAGAGCCUGCUGUAAUAGCUACACAAUACUAUUUAUCACAUAUUUAUUUCAUCUCAUCCUCUCAAUAGUUCUGCAGAAAAGGUAGUAUUUCCCAUUUCAUAAUGAGGAAACUCACAAUAUUAGUGGGACCUGGAUCCAAAGUCCUAAUAUUUUAUACGAUUUGUGCAUUUCCAAAAUAAAAACUUGAAAUUGAA